rnacentral:rRNA from 2 species
GCCGGUGCCGAUGACGCAGAGGUCCCACCUGUUCCCAUUCCGAACACAGUAGUUAAGCUCUGUCGUGCCGAAGAUAGUUGGUUGGAGACGACCCGCAAAAAUAGGUAGGCGCCGGCU